rnacentral:rRNA from 1 species
GAUGAACGCUGGCGGCGUGCCUAAUACAUGCAAGUCGAGCGAACGGACGAGAAGCUUGCUUCUCUGCUGUUAGCGGCGGACGGGUGAGUAACACGUGGAUAACCUACCUAUAAGACUGGGAUAACUUCGGGAAACCGGAGCUAAUACCGGAUAAUAUUUUGAACCGCAUGGUUCAAAAGUGAAAGACGGUCUUGCUGUCACUUGUAGAUGGAUCCGGGCUGCAUUAGCUAGUUGGUAAGGUAACGGCUUACCAAGGCAACGAUGCAUAGCCGACCUGAGAGGAUGAUCGGCCACACUGGAACUGAGACACGGUCCAGACUCCUACGGGAGGCAGCAGUAGGGAAUCUUCCGCAAUGGGCGAAAGCCUGACGGAGCAACGCCGCGUGAGUGAUGAAGGUCUUCGGAUCGUAAAACUCUGUUAUUAGGGAAGAACAUAUGUGUAAGUAACUGUGCACAUCUUGACGGUACCUAAUCAGAAAGCCACGGCUAACUACGUG